rnacentral:ribozyme from 1 species
UCCCAUGACACAAAGAAAUAAAGAAGAAGAAAAACUAAAUCUGUUAACACGUGUUCCAUGACUCUUCGUACUCAUCAUCGUGUAAAACUCUUUGCAAAAUAUCCUUUACCCUGUCCAGGCGUUCUUUUUCUUUUUCCUUUUCUUUUGCCUUGAAGAAAGCUCUGUAGUUUUUUGAGA